UAUAAACCCUGGUUAGAUGGGAUUCCGAAAAGUCAAUUUCUUCGUCUUCACCGUAACUGUUCUCUAUCAAAUGAUUUUAAAAUCCAAUCUACCUCAUUGAAUAGUAAAUUUUUAGAUAAAAACUAUGAACCAGAAAAAUUGAAUGCAGCAUUAAAAGAAGUUAGUACAAAAGAAAGAAAGGACCUUUUAGCAUACAAAGCUAAAAAGGAAGACCCCC